GGUGCGAUGUCCGAGUGGUUAAGGAGCUGGUUUCAGGCACCAGUCGUAAUUGGCCUGGGUUCGAUCCCCAGUCGCAUCA